GCAUAUCAAUAAGCGGAGGAAAAGAAACUAACUAGGAUUCCCCCAGUAACGGCGAGUGAAGAGGGACUAGCCCAAAUUUGUAAUCUGGCUCUUUCAGAGUCCGAGUUGUAAUCUCGAGAACAGUUUUCCGUGUUGGACCUUGUAUAAUUCUGUUGGAAUAUAGCUUCGUAGAGGGUGAGAAUCCCGUACAUAACAAGGACUACCAAUGCUUUGUGAUACUGUCUCUAAGAGUCGAGUUGUUUGGGAAUGCAGCUCAAAUCGGGUGGUAAAUUCCAUCUAAGGCUAAAUAUUGGCGAGAGACCGAUAGCGAACAAGUACCGUGAGGGAAAGAUGAAAAGCACUUUGGAAAGAGAGUUAACAGUACGUGAAAUUGUUAAAAGGGAAACGAUUGAAGUCAGUCUUGUAGCUUUUCGUUCAACCGCAAGGUGUAUUCGGAUUGCAACAGGCCAGCAUCAGUUUUUGGUGUCGGAUAAGGGUAUUGGAAACGUAGCAAUCUCGGUUGUGUUAUAGUCCUUUACUUGAUAAGAUGGUAGGGAUUGAGGAACGCAGUGAGCCUUUUGGCGGGUCUUCGGACCUUCUCUACUUGGAAGGCGGCGAAUGAGUU
rnacentral:rRNA from 1 species